AAUGAACGCUGGCGGCGUGCCUAACACAUGCAAGUCGAGCGAGAAAACUCCUUCGGGAGUGAGUAAAGCGGCGGACGGUUGAGUAACACGUGAGUAUCUGCCCUUUAGUGAAGAAUACCUUCGAGAAAUCGAAGUUAAUUCUGCAUAAGUCCCUUCGGGGAGAAAGAUGGCCUCUUUGCUAUCGCUGAAGGAGGAGCUUGCGGCCUAUCAGCUUGUUGGUGAGGUAAAGGCUUACCAAGGCUAUGACGGGUAGCCGGCCUGAGAGGGUGUACGGCCAGAUUGGAACUGAGAUACGGUCCAGACUCCUACGGGAGGCAGCAGUGAGGAAUAUUGCGCAAUGGGCGAAAGCCUGACGCAGCGACGCCGCGUGGAGGAUGAAGGCUUUAGGGUCGUAAACUUCUGUUAAGUGGGAAGAAAUCUCCAACUCUAAUACAGUUGGAGGAUGACGGUACCAUUAGAGAAAGCACCGGCUAACUCCGUGCCAGCAGCCGCGGUAAUACGAGGGGUGCUAGCGUUAUUCGGAUUUACUGGGCGUAAAGGGUGUGUAGACGGUAUACUAAGUCGAUUGUUAAAUACUCCGGCCUAACCGGAGAUCAGCGGUCGAAACUGAUAUACUAGAGGAUGGAAGAGAGAAGUGGAAUUCUCGGAGUAGCGGUAAAAUGCGUAGAUCUCGAGAGGAACACCGAUGGCGAAGGCAGCUUCUUGGUCCAUUCCUGACGUUGAAACACGAAAGCGUGGGGAGCAAACAGGAUUAGAUACCCUGGUAGUCCACGCCGUAAACGAUGAUCACUAGACGUCGGUUCUGUUUUACAGAAUCGGUGUCGUAGCUAACGCGUUAAGUGAUCCGCCUGGGGAGUACGGUCGCAAGACUAAAACUUAAAGGAAUUGACGGGGGUCCGCACAAGCGGUGGAACAUGUGGUUUAAUUCGACAAUCCGCGAGGAACCUUACCUAGACUUGACAUGCUUUUGACCGCCGUAGAAAUACGGUUUUCCGGAUUUAUUCGGACAAUUGCACAGGUGCUGCAUGGCUGCCGUCAGCUCGUGUCGUGAGAUGUUGGGUUAAGUCCUUUAACGAGCGCAACUCCUACUGCCAGUUGCAACUGCGUGAGCAGGCACUCUGGCGGAACUGCCUGGGAAACCAGGAGGAAGGUGGGAAUGACGUCAAGUCAGCAUGGUCCUUAUGUCUAGGGCUACACACGUGUUACAAUGGCCAGUAUAACGAGCUGCAAACCCGCGAGGGUAAGCGAAUCUCUCAAAGCUGGUCUAAGUUCGGAUUGCGGUCUGCAACUCGACCGCAUGAAGUUGAAAUCGCUAGUAAUCGCGCAUCAGCAACGGCGCGGUGAAUACGUUCUCGGACCUUGUACACACCGCCCGUCACACCACGAAAGCUGUUUGUACCCGAAGUCAUCUUAGCUAACCCGUAAGGGAUGCGGAUGCCUAAGGUAUGGGUGGUGAUUGGGGUG
rnacentral:rRNA from 1 species